rnacentral:rRNA from 1 species
GAUGAAGUUGCCGGGCAAAAGUCUGGUAAUGAAAGAUUGCCUCUUCUUGAAAGCAAUUGUUUGGAGAUGAGUCUGCGGACCAUUAGUUUGUUGGUGGGGUAAAGGCCUACCAAGACUGCGAUGGUUAGCUGGUCUGAGAGGAUGAUCAGCCACACUGGAACUGAACACGGUCCAGACUCCUACGGGAGGCAGCAGUGAGGAAUUUUGCGCAAUGGGGGAAACCCUGACGCAGCAACGCCGCGUGAGUGAAGAAGGCCCUUGGGUCGUAAAGCUCUGUCGACAGGGAAGAAAUUGAUUCAUAUUAAUAGUAUGUUUCAUUGACGGUACCUGUAGAGGAAGCACCGGCUAACUCCGUGCCAGCAGCCGUGGUAAUACGGGGGGUGCAAGCGUUAUUCGGAAUUAUUGGGCGUAAAGGGCGCGUAGGCGGUCUUGUCGGUCAGAUGUGAAAGCCCGGGGCUCAACCCUGGAAGUGCAUUUGAAACAGCAAGACUUGAGUACGGGAGGGGAGAGCGGAAUCCCUGGUGUAGAGGUGAAAUUCGUAGAUAUCAGGAGGAACACCGAUGGCGAAGGCAGCUCUCUGGACCGAUACUGACGCUGAGGCGCGAAGGUGUGGGUAGCAAACGGGAUUAGAUACCCCGGUAGUCCACACAGUAAACGUUGUUCACUCGGUGUAGCGGGUAUUAAAAUCUGCUGCGCCCAAGCUAACGUGGUAAGUGAACCGCCUGGGGAGUACGGUCGCAAGACUAAAACUCAAAGGAAUUGACGGGGGCCCGCACAAGCGGUGGAGCAUGUGGUUUAAUUCGACAACGCGAAGAACCUUACCUGGAUUUGACAUCCUGUGAAUCCCUUGGAAACUUGGGAGUGCCUUCGGGAACACAGUGACAGGUGCUGCAUGGCUGUCGUCAGCUCGUGUCGUGAGAUGUUUGGUUAAGUCCAGCAACGAGCGCAACCCUUAUCGUUAGUUGCCAGCACGUAAUGGUGGGAACUCUAGCGAGACUGCCCGGGUCAACCGGGAGGAAGGCGGGGAUGACGUCAAGUCCUCAUGGCCCUUAUAUCCAGGGCUACACACGUGCUACAAUGGUAAGUACAGAGGGCAGCAAGCCGGUGACGGUUAGCUAAUCCCUAAAGCUUAUCUCAGUCCGGAUUGGAGUCUGCAACUCGACUCCAUGAAGUUGGAAUCGCUAGUAAUCGCGGAUCAGCAUGCCGCGGUGAAUAUGUUCCCGGGCCUUGUACACACCGCCCGUCACACCAUGAGAGUUGAUUAUACCCGACGUCGUUGGGCUAACUGUUCGCAGAGGCAGGCGCCUAAGGUAUGGUCGAUAAUUGGGGUGAAGUCGCAACAAGGUA